ACGCCCGUGUGAAGCUCCUUCGACGAGUCGAGUUGUUUGGGAAUGCAGCUCAAAAUGGGUGGUAAAUUUCAUCUAAAGCUAAAUAUUGGCCAGAGACCGAUAGCGCACAAGUAGAGUGAUCGAAAGAUGAAAAGCACUUUGGAAAGAGAGUCAAACAGUACGUGAAAUUGUUGAAAGGGAAGCGCUUGCAACCAGACUUGCCCGCGGGUGAUCAGCCGGUAUUUUUACCGGUGCACUCGCCCGUGGUCAGGCCAGCAUCGGUUUGGGCGGCGGGAUAAAGUCCUCCGGAAUGUAGCUCCUUUCGGGGAGUGUUAUAGCCGGGGGUGCAAUGCUGCCCGCCUGGACCGAGGACCGCGCUUUGGCUCGGAUGCUGGCGUAAUGGUUGUAAGCGACCCGUCUUGAAACACGGACCAAGGAGUCUAACAUCUAUGCGAGUGUUUGGGUGUCAAACCCAUGCGCGUAAUGAAAGUGAACGGAGGUGGGAACCCUCCAGGGUGCACCAUCGACCGAUCCUGAUGUCUUCGGAUGGAUUUGAGUAAGAGCAUAGCUGUUGGGACCCGAAAGAUGGUGAACUAUGCCUGAAUAGGGUGAAGCCAGAGGAAACUCUGGUGGAGGCUCGCAGCGGUUCUGACGUGCAAAUCGAUCGUC
rnacentral:rRNA from 1 species